UACGGAGGGUGCAAGCGUUAUCCGGAUUUACUGGGUUUAAAGGGUGCGUAGGUGGGUAAGUAAGUCAGUGGUGAAAUCUCCGGGCUUAACCCGGAAACUGCCAUUGAUACUAUUUAUCUUGAAUACUUUGGAGGUAAGCGGAAUAUGUCAUGUAGCGGUGAAAUGCUUAGAUAUGACAUAGAACACCAAUUGCGAAGGCAGCUGGCUACACAAAUAUUGACACUGAGGCACGAAAGCGUGGGGAUCAAACAGG
rnacentral:rRNA from 1 species